CAUAAGGUAACCCUUGUAACCAUCUUGUCAAACAAAGGCUAACUUUGCAUUACUGUCAAUCUUUUGAAACUUAAUGGCACCCCUAAGUAUCUGACUGGAAGUGCUCCUUUAGGAAACCCAACAAGCUAAGAAUCUCUAUUUGAAUAUCUUCGGGCACCCAUCCAAAGAAGAUUGAGCUUUUGGCCUUCUUAACUAUCAAUCCUGAAGCCAAUGAAAACUGUUGGAAACAAUCAUACAUCAGUUUGACUAAUAUCACAUCACCACUGUGGCCCGGCAAAACAUCAGAAUGUCAUCAACGAAGCCCAAUUGCACUAUCUGCAUUUUACUACAUCUAGGGUGGAAGUUAAAAUCUG
rnacentral:lncRNA from 1 species